rnacentral:rRNA from 1 species
UACGUAGGGUGCGAGCGUUGUCCGGAAUUAUUGGGCGUAAAGAGCUCGUAGGCGGCUUGUCGCGUCGGAUGUGAAAGCCCGGGGCUUAACUCCGGGUCUGCAUUCGAUACGGACAGGCUAGAGUUCGGUAGGGGAGAUCGGAAUUCCUGGUGUAGCGGUGAAAUGCGCAGAUAUCAGGAGGAACACCGGUGGCGAAGGCGGAUCUCUGGGCCGAUACUGACGCUGAGGAGCGAAAGCGUGGGGAGCGAACAGG